UAAACUUCACAGCUAGUUGUAACUUACUUAAGCAUUCUUGAAAAAUGAUAAAAAUAUUAAUUUUUGUUUCAUGUGCCACAGCAAUUACAGCCCAAACUUUAAGUGGCGAAGAUUUCAAAGAAGCUGUUGAUAUACUACUAUACGGAUUGGACCAACUAAACGUAAAAGGAGGUACUUUUUACAUGGCUGGUGAUAUCAACUCAGCUUCUAGAAUAUCGGCUGACAUUGGAUAUCGUUUCGAUACUAUUUUGCUUGAUUACAAUAAUGUGCCACAUGAAUGCACAGUAGAAAUCACAACGCCAAAUAGUGCAUAUUCCACAAUAAGUGUCAAAUGUGCAGGCGUGGAUGCCUACACAAAGCUAACAUACAAUUAAUCGAACGAUUUUACAAAUAAGUGUUUGAAUAAAUAGUAUUUCAUUCAGCAGUA